rnacentral:rRNA from 1 species
AGCGGUAAGGCCUUUCGGGGUACACGAGCGGCGAACGGGUGAGUAACACGUGGGUGAUCUGCCCUGCACUCUGGGAUAAGCUUGGGAAACUGGGUCUAAUACCGGAUAUGACCGCAGGCCGCAUGUGGUGUGGUGGAAAGAUUUAUCGGUGCAGGAUGGGCCCGCGGCCUAUCAGCUUGUUGGUGGGGUAAUGGCCUACCAAGGCGACGACGGGUAGCCGACCUGAGAGGGUGACCGGCCACACUGGGACUGAGACACGGCCCAGACUCCUACGGGAGGCAGCAGUGGGGAAUAUUGCACAAUGGGCGGAAGCCUGAUGCAGCGACGCCGCGUGAGGGAUGAAGGCCUUCGGGUUGUAAACCUCUUUCAGCAGGGACGAAGCGUGAGUGACGGUACCUGCAGAAGAAGCACCGGCUAACUACGUGCCAGCAGCCGCGGUAAUACGUAGGGUGCGAGCGUUGUCCGGAAUUACUGGGCGUAAGAGUUCGUAGGCGGUUUGUCGCGUCGUUUGUGAAAACCCGGGGCUCAACUUCGGGCUUGCAGGCGAUACGGGCAGACUUGAGUGUUUCAGGGGAGACUGGAAUUCCUGGUGUAGCGGUGAAAUGCGCAGAUAUCAGGAGG